UAGAAAAUAAUAUAGAGGAAGUAUGGAGGGUUUUGAUCUCUCCCGCGUAGGUUCGACUCCUACUUUUCUAA
rnacentral:tRNA from 1 species